rnacentral:rRNA from 1 species
UUAGCGGCGGACGGGUGAGUAACACGUGGGCAACCUGCCUGUAAGACUGGGAUAACUCCGGGAAACCGGGGCUAAUACCGGAUAAUUCAUUUCCUCUCAUGAGGAAAUGCUGAAAGACGGUUUCGGCUGUCACUUACAGAUGGGCCCGCGGCGCAUUAGCUAGUUGGUGAGGUAACGGCUCACCAAGGCCACGAUGCGUAGCCGACCUGAGAGGGUGAUCGGCCACACUGGGACUGAGACACGGCCCAGACUCCUACGGGAGGCAGCAGUAGGGAAUCUUCCGCAAUGGACGAAAGUCUGACGGAGCAACGCCGCGUGAGCGAAGAAGGCCUUCGGGUCGUAAAGCUCUGUUGUUAGGGAAGAACAAGUAUCGGAGUAACUGCCGGUACCUUGACGUAC